UACGUAGGGCGCAAGCGUUGUCCGGAAUUAUUGGGCGUAAAGAGCUCGUAGGCGGCUUGUCACGUCGGGUGUGAAAGCCCGGGGCUUAACCCCGGGUCUGCAUUCGAUACGGGCAGACUAGAGUGUGGUAGGGGAGAUCGGAAUUCCUGGUGUAGCGGUGAAAUGCGCAGAUAUCAGGAGGAACACCGGUGGCGAAGGCGGAUCUCUGGGCCAUUACUGACGCUGAGGAGCGAAAGCGUGGGGAGCGAACAGG
rnacentral:rRNA from 1 species